ACAGAGAAUAGUUUAUAUAAAAUUUUAAUUUUGGAGAUUAAAGAAGAAACACUUUCUUCUCUG
rnacentral:tRNA from 1 species